CGUUUGCAAUCGAAUCCGACUAAUGAAUACACCAGUAGUUUGUGGAGGUUACAUCACUACAUAAGAUUAUUAAUCAAUCAAUGUAGGUAGCUAAGUAGUAUGGAACUGCUGAAAGAUAGCCAUGUUACUCUGGUGAUUGUUUGCGCAUUCUGCAGCUUGAUCAAUGCACGUUUCCUACAGGCAGCACACUCUUUGGCUAACGUCAAGAGCUAGUUUACCUUGGUCAUUGAAUCGCUUGUCCACACGGUAAGAAAUAUAUUUCACACAGGUUGACUCUUCCACGUGUGAGAUAUGCUUAUUGACCUCUUCAAUUGUUUCAAAUACAGCUUCGUCGCUCAUUUUUAUUUAUAAUCUGUUACCAAUACAUAUAAACAUUCAAAAAAUGUCGCUAGCUAAACUAAAGCGGUAAUGUUUGCGAUUAUUUAAUUGGUUCACGUGCGGAUCAAUGGACCCGCCUUCUUAAAAUGGUGGUUUCUCAUUGGUGUAAUGCGAAUUCCGUCACUAAAAUGGAAACAAACGAUUGGCUUCUAUUCGAAACCAAUCAACCAUUUUCUUACACGUCAUUAGAUUGCGACUCAAUCACGUUGAGGACAACACGCUUGACGGUACCGAAUUUAAAAUAUUUUCGUAACAAUUUUCCUCAAUGUUUCAACAGAAUACAAUCCGGGUUACGAAUCGUAUAUUUUGGCAUACAAGUUAUACUUUGUCGAGAUCAUGGACUCAGUUAUCAAGGACAAGAUUACUGCACGUACAACCGCUUGCAUCAGGGACCAGUCAAUGGUCCUCUUCACAGUCAAGACACAGCAGUGGUCCGACUUUGCCAGUAGCUUUCAGGCAGUAUCGAAGAGACGUACCUCUACAUAAAUUCUCUACCACAACACACGUCUGCAGCGAUUCUAUUGGGAAGAUUCAUUCAACGCAUUACCACUUGGUUUACACAUGCAAGGUGUGCUCAACCAGGUCAACAAAGAGGAUAUCCAAGGUAGCCUAUCAUAAAGGUGUUGUCCUAGUGACCUGCCCAGGAUGUGAAAAACACCACAUUAUUGCUGACAACUUGGGUUGGUUCUCUGAUCUGAAGGGAAAGAGGAACAUUGAGGAAAUCCUUGCAGCGAAAGGGGAGAAAGUGAAGAGGGGAGAAGAAGAGGCGGCCUUCGAGAUUGUUAUAGAGGAGUCCGGCAAGGAUACAACACAGACUGCUCAAGAUGCAAAGAAACCUUCACCAGGGUCUGAUGACUCAGGGAAACAAUGACUAACUCUCUGUGGGUGUGUGUGCGCACAACAAGGACAUCGUUCUCUAUGAGGGGAAAAAUUGUAAUUACAAAGUAAAUGUAACACUUCUUUUGAUAUUUCUUUCUCCAUAUUGUUUUCAUAAGAUGUUGAUCAUUUCUUAUCACACUAUUUUAUACCAACUGAACACUACUGCCAGAAUAUUCCUUGGGUUUACACCAAUCUUACUACUACUGAACUGAUCACACUCAAACAGAAGAGGCUGAUGCUUGCAAUUCAUUUUUAUUGUAAAGUUGUAUGAUAUGAAGCAGGAAGAAUUAACAUUCAAAGGCCCAUUUAGGGCCAUGGCAAACUGCCUAUCAUAGACCCUCUCCCUCUUCCUCCAUGGUGUCCUCCAGCAGCACAUGAAAGCAAUGCUGUCAAUACACAUGGAAGCAGAACAUAGAGUGCUCCUGUAAAACAAUUAUCCCGUCAGGAAUUAAUCAAACAGAUAUUGAACGAAUGGGAUUCACAGUUAUACAUUAGUCUGAAAAUGUUCAAUCAUUAACCCCAGUUGUGGAGCCCCUAUCCUCUCAUCACAAGCCCAAGCACUUACCUCAUCUGCUCUUCUGUGUUUUCCUCUUCCUGCCUCCCUCCCUUUCAUCCUUUCCUAUUGAUGCUUCAGCAGAUAAAGAGACCUCAUAUGCCACAAUCUGUUUCAGGAAAAAAAACAUCUGAAAGCCCACUCACUUGAGGUGAAUAAUCACAUGAGAUCAGGAAUUGUAGUGUUUGAGUUGAACAACAUUACCUAAACAUACUUCUGUCAACACUAAUACAGUUGUCUACAGAGAACAGGCUUUGAUAGUAAACACUUACCUAAUGUAGUCAUCCAGCUGUGCUCCUCCUCCAACCCUCCCAUCCUUUCCAAUUGAUGCUUCAACAGAUCUGUUUCUUUGGCUGCUCUUUUCAUCUAUCUGAGACUUGAACAGGCUUAGAAAGAGGACAAAAGGAAACCAAAGCAACUUUAAAAGAGAAGUAGAAGAGGCAGACUUCCUUUCUUUUUGACGUCUGUUGGUUAUUUUUCCUGUGCUCUUGGUCUUCUCCUUAUCUGCUAAUCCUUAGUUAUUGAGAUAUUUAUUUUGGCCAUAUGUCCAUCAGAAAUCUAAUUCAAUCUCCUCUCUAUUACUCUUAGUGUUUUCACCUCUUUUCUCUGGGUCUCUGUUUAUCUUGCCUCCCUCCUUGUGUUUUCCAUAACUUUCUUUUGAUCCACUCCGCUCUUCUUUACUGCUAAUCUCAUUUACCUUUUAUCCCAUGGUCCUUCAUGAUUCUGUCCAUCAGAACUUGAAUUCUAUAUCUCCUACUUCCCUCCUGAUAAACCACUCUGGUCUCUCAUGUUUCCUCCUCUUCACCCUCAGGCCUGGCUUCCUUAUAAUUUGUUCCUCCUUUUGCUUAUUUUCUCAUUUUUUUGAUUGUUUUUACUCUUUAAAACAAACUAAUUUGUUGUUUAUUUACAUCUAUCAACAUAACUAGGAGCAUUGACUUGUACAUUUCUUCUUUUGUCUGCUCCCUUUCUUUUGUCAUCUACUGAAAAGUUGUCGAUGCCUCGUCCGCCGCUUUCUUCUGCUUCUUCCUUGUUCUCCUCUUUGCAGACUGUGCGUGAGCGGUCUCUGGACGUUGCUCCCUCUCUUCCCUCCGCACAGAGGCGUCAGAUGUAGACGCUGUGACCUCGUAUGCCACCACCUGUUUUGCUCUCUGUGUCUGUCCUUUUUUCUGACACAGCGCACGCCUCUUUUCUCUUUCAAUCUGUGCAUUCCUCUCUUCUCUCUCAUACAGUUUCUCCAUCUCCAUUUUGAACCUGGCCUCGUGAUCUUUUAUUCUUUGAAGCUCUGCUCUCUUCUUAUCCUCGUCCCGUAUCCUUGUCUGCCUUUUCUGUUCCUCCUUCUCUUGUUCCUGCUGUAUCUUCAAUCUCCUUUUCUGUUCCUCUUUCCUCCUCUUCUCUUCUUUCUCUCGUGCCUUUUGCUGCAUCUCCAACACCUUCAUUCUCUCCUUUUCCCUGUUCCUCUCCUCCUCCAUUCUCUGUUUCUCCAUCUUUUUCUCUUCCUCUGCCCUCUUUUUCUCUUCUUUUGCACGGGCCUUUUGUUGCAUCUCCUGCUGCUUUCUUUCUUUUUUCUCUCUCUUUUUCUCUUGUUCUUGUCUCUUUUUCUCAUGUUCAAUCUUUAGUUUCAUCUCUGCCUUCUCCCUUUUCCUCUGCUCCUCUAACUUGUUUUUUUCCAUAUUUUCUGUCCUUUUCCUUUCCUCCUCAUUCAAUUUCUUCUGCCUCUUUUCCCACUUUUUGAGCUCUUCGUCCCUGGCUUUUUCCUUCCUCCUUUCAAUCUUCAUCAUCUCUUCAUUUCUCUUAGCCUCAUACUUGAAAUAUUUGAUCCUGUCUGCGUAGC